CCUACGGGAGGCUGCAGUGAGGAAUAUUGGUCAAUGGACGAGAGUCUGAACCAGCCAAGUAGCGUGAAGGAUGACUGCCCUAUGGGUUGUAAACUUCUUUUAUAUGGGAAUAAAAUGUUCCACGUGUGGGAUUUUGUAUGUACCAUAUGAAUAAGGAUCGGCUAACUCCGUGCCAGCAGCCGCGGUAAUAUGGAGGAUCCGAGCGUUAUCCGGAUUUAUUGGGUUUAAAGGGAGCGUAGGUGGAUUGUUAAGUCAGUUGUGAAAGUUUGCGACUCAACCGUAAAAUUGCAGUUGAAACUGGCAGUCUUGAGUACAGUAGAGGUGGGCGGAAUUCGUGGUGUAGCGGUGAAAUGCUUAGAUAUCACGAAGAACUCCGAUUGCGAAGGCAGUUCACUGGACUGCAACUGACACUGAGGCUCGAAAGUGUGGGUAUCAAACAGGAUUAGAUACCCGAGUAGUC
rnacentral:rRNA from 1 species